UGGGGGAUAUUGCACAAUGGGGGGAACCCGUGAUGCAGCGACGCCGCGUGAGUGAAGAAGCGCCUCGGCGCGUAAAGCCCUGUCAGCAGGGAAGAAAAUGACGGUACCUGAAGAAGAAGCCCCGGCUAACUACGUGCC
rnacentral:rRNA from 1 species